rnacentral:tRNA from 1 species
UAGAGAUUAGUUUAAUACAAACAGCUAUCUUCGAACUAGCAAUUUUAGGCACUCCCUAAAUCUCUAC